CGUAGGGGGCGAGCGUUGUCCGGAUUUAUUGGGCGUAAAGAGCUCGUAGGCGGUUCGGCAAGUCGGGUGUGAAAACUCCGGGCUCAACUCGGAGACGCCACUCGAUACUGCCAUGACUUGAGUCCGGUAGGGGAGUGCGGAAUUCCUGGUGUAGCGGUGAAAUGCGCAGAUAUCAGGAGGAACACCGGUGGCGAAGGCGGCACUCUGGGCCGGUACUGACGCUGAGGAGCGAAAGCGUGGGGAGCGAACAGGAUUAGAUACCCUGGUAGUCCACGCCGUAAACGUUGGGCACUAGGUGUGGGGCUCGAUCGACGGGCUCCGUGCCGUAGUUAACGCAUUAAGUGCCCCGCCUGGGAAGUACGGCCGCAAGGCUA
rnacentral:rRNA from 1 species